AGAGUUUGAUCCUGGCUCAGGAUGAACGCUAGCGGCAGGCCUAAUACAUGCAAGUCGAACGCUCAGUAGCAAUACUGGGAGUGGCGCACGGGUGCGUAACGCGUACACAAUCUACCUCUAAGCGGGGGACACCUCCUGGAAACGGGGAUUAAUACCGCAUAAUAUGCCGAGGUCGCAUGACUUUGGUAUUAAAGCAGCAAUGCACUUAGAGAUGAGUGUGCGUCCCAUUAGGUAGUUGGUGAGGUAACGGCUCACCAAGCCUAUGAUGGGUAGCCGGUCUGAGAGGAUGGUCGGCCACACGGGCACUGAGACACGGGCCCGACUCCUACGGGAGGCAGCAGUAAGGAAUAUUGGUCAAUGGUGGAAACACUGAACCAGCCAUGCCGCGUGGAGGAAUAAGGUCCUACGGAUUGUAAACUCCUUUUGACGAGGAAGAAAGUGUUAGAUUUAUCUAAUUUUGACGGUACUCGUAGAAUAAGCACCGGUUAACUCCGUG
rnacentral:rRNA from 1 species